UCACUUGGGGAGUGAGAAAUUGCUUGCUGCUUAGCCGGACCCUAACCACGAUUCCAACUUCAAUCCAGAACGAUUGCUAAAGCUGUUCCAGCACCUAGAGUCAAAUAAAAAUAUCCCGAGGUGGGAAGGAAAACAUUUGUCUAGGGAAACAUUAAAAACAGGAGAGUGUGUGCCUUGGAGCCAGCGCCCGGAGCCCUGCUGAUGUCCCGGGGCAGAAAUAGCCCGUUUCAUCAUCGGCUCUGGACGACCGCCGCCCGCAUUCCUCGAGUAAGGAGCUGUCCUCUGCUGCGCUUUUGGAGCAGAAUAAUAUGCAGCUGGGGGAAGGCCAGGCUGGGUCUCAGGGUGAGAGUUGCAGAUGGAUAUGAAAUAAUCGGGGAAGAGGCAAGGUGACUUGUAGCAGGGUGAACACCUGGUCUUACUUUGGAUGAGGGACACUUUCCAUUUCCCCACUUCAUAAAAGUCCCUGAGGGUUUUCCUGCUGGACUCACAUGAAGAACCUGCGGGGCCAGAAGACUUCCAUGUUUGCGGCCCUAUUCUGGGGCUUCGGCUGUGUUGGAGACCAUCACUGGAUCACAGCAAAGCUAACAUGUGUCUGGGUCUCACCUCGAGCCAACUGCAGUGCCAGAGGCCCUGACACCUAGCCCCCUCUCCUUCCUGACUUACCGAAGCUGCCGGUGGCUGACCCUGAAAACUGGGAGCACAGGAUGCCACCUCAACUUGAAUUAAGUUCCAACAGGACAUAGACUAGGAAACCAGGAAUGCUCACAUUAAUACUACAUAAGGCUUAGCUUCAGAAACAUUUACCUGCUGUGAGCAGAUAUGUCUUCAUGAAAUAUGAAAUCCACCCAAAUUUAUUAAGACUGCCUGUGUAGUAAGUAGUGGGAACUCAAACUGAGCAGCCCUCUGUGAGGGUCUCAUUAUUAUUAUGGCAUUAUUUAUUUAUAUCUUACCCUAAGACAGACAUGAUGUAAUCCAGUAAUUAAGAUUGCUAUGAUUGAAUAUUUAUUAAGCACCUACAAUAAGCCAGCCACUGAUCCACAUAAAAUGAGUCUUUACCCUCAAGAGCUCUUGUCUUGAUGCCACGGG